rnacentral:tRNA from 1 species
GCGCGAGUGGCGGAAUUGGCAGACGCGCUGGCUUCAGGUGCCAGUGUUCGCAAGAACGUGGGGGUUCAAGUCCCCCCUCGCGCACGA